AUCGCUUCUUGGCCUUUUGGCUAAGAUCAAGUGUAGAAUUAAAUGACAUAAAAACAUUAUAAAUCAAAAUUUGGGGGCGCCUGGCUGGCUCAGUCAGUAGAGCAUGCAACUCUUGAUCUCAGGGUCGUGAGUUCAAGCCCC
rnacentral:snRNA from 1 species